GGAGCCAACGUCCGGUGGACACUUCGAACAGUGCCCCCCACUUGGGGCUGGUUUACACCGGGCCGUCUUAUCGAGCCCUCCCUGGCGCCCAGGUUCUGAGGACCGUGCGUACACCUGCUGUGUGCCAGCUCGUGCCGUGCGCCCGGGGAGGAGAAACACUGAGCUCCUGUCCUCCUGAGGGAGAGGACAGUAAACAGAUGAGAAUGACUCAGAGUCACAUUGUAAGAUUUGGUGAGCACUUAAUAUCUGUUAGGCGCCGGGCCGGGAGCUAGAUGCAGCAUUUCCUGUACUCUCAAUAACCCAUGAUGUUGUCUCCUCCUGAGCACCCCGCUCAGAGUUGCCCCCUCCCCCAGUCACUGUGACAUCACCCUGCUUUGUGUUCGCGGUGCCGGUCAUGGGCGAUGAACUUGCAGUCUGCGUCUCCCCCACCAGAAGACAAGCUCCUGAGGCCCAGACUUGCUUUGUUCACAGUAGACGCUCGUUUACUGAGUUACUGCUUGCUGAGGAAAUUAAGCUCCGUUACAGGCUUUUACUUACCUCCGCAGGGAGCCGCCUUAGAGGCCACGGAAGGACCCUGAAGCGAGCGGAGAGGGGCGCUAAGAUCCCCUCUAGAUGUCUUUCAGAGGCAACAUCCUACCCUGGUUAUCUGAAAGUUGAAGCGCUGAACUCCUCAGCGGCCUGUCAUCCCGUCAUCUCAGUGAUACAACUAAAAGGAACAGUAAGGAUACCUUCAUGGAACUCAGGGAAGUGAAGUGACUCGCCCAAGUUACACAGCGUGGCAGAGCCGAGCACCCUGCCCCUUCCACCCUCCUGACAGCCCAGGUCAGGGCGGGGUGGGGCUGGAGAAGACCCAGGUGUGGUCUAAGGGGGCGGGCAGGUGCGAUGGGUGGGGCUGGGGGGCGCGGCCAACCCGGGCAGAAGCUCCAGUGGAGCGCGCCCCUGACCUGCCCGUUCCCCUCCAAAGUCCUCCUAUUGAAAGUGGCUUUAAGAGAAGAGUCGCCACAGGCGCGUUAUGUCCUAAGAGC
rnacentral:lncRNA from 1 species